UACGGGAGGCAGCAGUGGGGAAUAUUGGACAAUGGGCGAAAGCCUGAUCCAGCCAUGCCGCAUGAGUGAAGAAGGCCUUCGGGUUGUAAAGCUCUUUUAGUGAGAAAGAUAAUGACGGUACUCACAGAAGAAGUCCUGGCUAACUCCGUGCCAGCAGCCGCGGUAAUACGGAGGGUGCGAGCGUUAAUCGGAAUUACUGGGCGUAAAGGGCACGCAGGCGGUUAAUUAAGUUGGAUGUGAAAUCCCCGGGCUUAACCUGGGAAUGGCAUUCAAGACUGGUUAGCUAGAGUCUUGUAGAGGGGGGUAGAAUUCCGAUGUGUAGCGGUGAAAUGCGUAGAGAUGUGGAGGAAUACCGGUGGCGAAGGCGGCCCCUGGACAAAGACUGACGCUCAUGUGCGAAAGCUGGGGAGCGAAAACAGGGAUUAGAUACC
rnacentral:rRNA from 1 species